ensembl:lncRNA
GCCUUUUUCAAAUGUGACUAAACUUGACAAUUUAUCUCAUCGAAGUCUCCACUCUCCAUAGUAAGUUGUCCUACUGUGCCUGGAUAUUUCAGAGCUAACCAAACAAGCACAGCUUUACAAUGACUCCUUUUUGAUAAAACUUUCCACUCAGAUGAAUAAUACUUUUUUUUUUCUUCUUUUUUUUUUUUUUUCUCUUUUUACAUGAAAAAAUCCCAGUGUGUUGUAGAAGAGUUGGAAACAUGGGGUUUGGUCAGGGAAAGGAGGACUGGCCCCAGAAUCAAAACAGAAGACCUGCCUGUUCGAGCUGGUCCAACGCCACGAUGUAGUGAUGUUUGUGAUAGCUUCAGUUCCUAUGGCAACGUGACAGCAUGAUUUACUGCAAUAACAGAGGGAGCGAAUGUGAAGCUUAUGUUUAACUUCAAUGCCGUGAGCUCUGUGUUGAUACCGGAGGGGGGGGGGAAGUUCUUUGACUUCUAGUAAAGCACAUUACUAAUGUGUCUUACAUAUAAAGACAAGUCAAUAAAGGAGAUUGUGGUGUUCAAAUUUCCCUUGCUUGCUCAUGGAGCUUGCAUGCACGUGCAUACCGUGAGUUUGGCUUCCCUAUGAUGCAGCCUGCAAUACCUGUCCGUGAUGGAGAGCUCAGGAGAGCAGCACAGCUGAGGGCACCGAAGAGGCAGUGGUGGAGCUGCUGGCUUAGGCUGCCUUCUGUGCUAGGUGUUCUGGCUGGCAGCACUGCAGUUGGAAGGCUAGCCAUGAGCAUGAAGGAGUGGGAUCAUCCAGGACAAACCCAACAGGGAACUGAAACCCCCCCAAAUAAUUCUGGUUCUGCCACUGGCUGCCCAUGUGAGUGGCUCUGUGGGGGCUGCUCAACACCAAAAACAGACCAAGAAAGAUUUCAGUUUCCAACAGUGCAUCCUCGCCUGAAGUUUUUGCCUUACUUGCUUUGUGACACUCUCCCCUCUGAGAAAGCAGGAUAAUCCUGGGUCCUCUGUGCCAUGGCAGUGCCUGGCUUGGGUGCCAGGCAUGGCAAGGCCUCCAAAGAACCUCCUCUAUUCCUUCUGUGUCUUACGUUCAUCUAUCACUGUUGGCUACCGAGCUCUUCCAAGGACAGAAAGCUCAACUAGAUAGCUCCCAUCUACUCCACUAAGACUCUUCGAGAAUGUCAUUAUGACUUUGUAAAGCACCAUCUGAUGCCAACCAGCAGUGAGUGGCUGGGGACCCUACCAGCAAGUUCCCUAAUCUUUGGUCUGAGCUCACUCCUGAACCCUGCCAUGCAGCUCCACUCCUCUAAAUGGAGGCGCUGCUGCUCUGAAGCAGUGCUGGUGAGAUACAGAUCAGCCCUUGCUGUCCUUUGUAAAAUAUAUCUGAUGUCAUAUAAUGAUAUUUUUUUCCCCCAUGUAAAUAGCACAAUAUCAUACAUCAGCAGUAAAUACCAUUGUUGAAAUGGCACAAAGCUUUGGGGAUAAUUAUAGGAAAGAUCUUGCCCAUUUGCUUUCCUUAUACCUUGCAAUUAUAGAUGGGUGUUUGUUUAUUCUUUGUUUAAUCUGCACCAGUUCUUAUUCAGUAAGAUCCUUCUGUAGUGUGUGCUGCUGGAGUGCAUUUGUAAAACCAAAUGAGCAAAGAGGACACAGAUGUUGCUCUGCAUUCUCUUUUUAGCCAUACAAAUUAUAAACAAUGUCUCUUUAUAUUAAGAUACACUUUUCUGUCCCAUAUUGGUUUUAGAGCUGAUUCUUUCAGUAUGUUUUCUGUUUAUAGCAGCCGGUUCUUGUUUAAAUAUCCCCACUACUGUAAUGCAUGUGAAGCAGUAUUGCUAUCACAUUGACUGUGCAUACCUGAAAUCCAUCUGUAUAUUACUGAACUGAUGUAAGGACAAAAGAAUUAAUAACAUGGUAGAGAGCCACAUGGAUAAUGCAUCUCUUGCUGAAGUCUACACUGACAAGUCAACGAGUGUACCUCGGUUUGUGUGUAACGAGGUAA